AGAUAGCCAUGCACGUGCGAGUACGAUCUCGGUCACGCGGAGAGAAACUACAGAUGGCUCAUUAAAUCAGUCGUAUCUUCCGAGAUCGUGAGUUACCCGUGGAUAUCCGUGGUAAUUCUAGAGCUAAUACAUGCACCGAGCUCGACGGCGCGCGUCGCGCGUCCCGCCUCGGCGGGCGUCGGCGCGCGCCGCGAGCGCUUUUAUUAGACCGAGACCGAUCGUCGUUCGCCCGCGUACGCGCCGUCGUUCGCGGCGCGCGCGCGCGCGAGGCGGCGGCGAACCUUCGGCGACUCUGGAUAACCGAGCCGAUCGCCCGGCCCUCGCGCCGGCGACGUAUCUCUCAGGUGUCUGACCUAUCAAUCGACGAAGGUCGGCGAUCUGCCUACCUCGAUUACGACGGGUAACGGGGAAUCGGGGUUCGAUUCCGGAGAGGGAGCCCGAGAAACGGCUACCACAUCCAAGGAAGGCAGCAGGCGCGCAAAUUACCCAAUCCCGAAACGGGGAGGUAGUGACGAAAAAUAACGAUGUCGGGUCGCUACNNNNNNNNNNNNNNNNNNNNNNNNNNCGUUAAACCCGUCGGCGAGUACCUAUCGGAGGGCAAGUCUGGUGCCAGCAGCCGCGGUAAUUCCAGCUCCGAUAGCGUAUGCUAAAGUUGUCGCGGUUAAAAAGCUCGUAGUUGGAUCACGGUUCGUCGGCCUUCGCCGUCGCCUCGCGGCUUCGCGCGAUCGUCCGGAACCUUCCGCCCGACGUCCCGCGGUGCUCUUCACCGAGUGUCCGCUCGCGGACGCGGGCACGGUUACUUCGAGGAAAUUAGAGUGCUCAAGGCGGGUCCGUACGCGGCCCGAAUAUCGCAGCAUGGAAUAACGGAAUCUGGCCUCGUCGGGGCGCGGCGUCCCUUCGUUCGUCGCGCGCGUUCCCCCGCGCGCGGCGGCGGGGCGCGACGCUCGUCCCGCGCGAGUCUUCGUUCGUUGGUCUCGAGACUCGAGGCGUCGAUUAAGAGGGACGGCCGGGGGCGUUCGUAUCGCGGCGCGAGAGGUGAAAUUCUUGGACCGUCGCGAGACGCGCUAGAGCGAAAGCAUUCGCCGAGGAUGUUUUCUUUAGUCAAGAACGAAAGUCAGAGGUUCGAAGACGAUCAGAUACCGUCGUARUUCUGACCAUAAACGGUGUCGCCUACUCGUCGGCCGCGGAUCUCGAUCGACCCGGCCGGCGACCCCCGGGAAACCUUCGAGGCUUCCGACUCCGGGGGAAGUAUGUUCGCAAAGAUGAAACUUAAAGGAAUUGACGGAAGGGCACCACCAGGAGUGGAGCCUGCGGCUUAAUUCGACCCAACACGGGAAAACUCACCCGGCCCGGACUACGCGAGGAUUGACAGAUCGAUAGCUCUUUCUCGAUUCGCGGGAUGGUGGUGCAUGGCCGUUCUUAGUUGGUGGAGCGAUUUGUCUGGUUAAUUCCGAUAACGAACGAGACUCUAGCCUGCUAAAUAGACGGGCGAUACGUCCGCGCCGUCGCGCGUCGGACAUUCCCGCGUUACCGGAGGUCGGCGCGCCGCGCGGCCGCUCGCGCGCGAGCGCCCGGGCCGCGGCGGGGUCGCGCGCGCGCGCCCGCGGACGCUUCGGCGUCUCGCGAGCGCGCGUGUGUCGGUCCCCGUCGCGCGUUCGAAGCGCGCGCGCCGGGCGCCGCGUCGGUGGCGUCUUCCCGAGGGCGCGAAGUCGCCCGCACCUUCGCGGUCUUCUUAGAGGGACGACCGGCUUUUAGCCGUACGAGAUUGAGCGAUAACAGGUCUGUGAUGCCCUUAGAUGUCCGGGGCCGCACGCGCGCUACACUGCGCGGGACGGCGCGCUCCUACCCCGGGCCUCUUAACGGCUCGGGUAACCGUNNNNNNNNNNNNNNNNNNNNNNNNNNNNUUUGAAAUUCUCGCCUCCCAACGAGGAAUUCCUAGUAGGCGCGGGGUCAUCAACCCGCGUCGAUUGCGUCUCUGCCCUUUGUACACACCGCCCGUCGCUACUACCGAUCGAACGGCUCAGAGAGGGCGCCGGAUCGAGGAGCCGGAGCGAGAGCCGCGGCCUCGCGUCGCCGGUUCUCCGCGGCCGAUCGACGAUGCGUCCGAACUCGGCCGUUUAGAGGAAGUAAAAGUCGUAACAAGGUUUCC
rnacentral:rRNA from 1 species